rnacentral:lncRNA from 1 species
UUUGGUAUGAGUAGUCAUUCAUAACAUAUCUGGCUGCGGCUCUUUGUACCUUUUCUAUCUCAUAUGUUACGUUUUUCUGCCAUGGAUGCCAUAUGGUGUUACAGUAUUCUAAUUGUGGCCGGUUGUUUUGUAGGCAGUUUCUUAAAUAUUACGGUUAUUACAUUGUACAUUUCUUUUUAUAAAUCUGAGGGUAUUACUAGCUUUUGAAGAUGUAAAUUCAAUAUGUUUUUCCAACAAAUAGACAAAUAUCGUUAAUUGGUUUAUAUUAAGGCCAACUUUUAACGGUAGUCAUAUCCUGGAAUACAGAUUCCGGGUCUUUCUAUCGAUUGCAAAGUAUCAUACAAGUAUAAACAAAUAUUUUAAAACUGCCUUCAUAGCUUUAACUGCAAGUAAGACAUUUACUUUUAACAAAUCAUAUUUUAUUUUUUGCAGUUUUCCAGUUGCUAUGGUGGCAUUAUUGCAUAGAUAAGAGACCAUCCAUAAUUCAGUCACAAAUCGACUGACGUGGUUUCAGAUUUGGAGCAGGAAGGGUGACCGUGUGUACAUACAGAUCAUGGACUAAGGUAUUGUCAGAUCUGGAGUAUAAAUGGGUUACUGUGAACACUUACCACCACAUCUUGGCAAUGGUAUGUAUGGAUGACCGACGUUUAGAUGUUCAAAGUUUUUGCAACGAUUUUGGAGCAUAUAGGAAUGCUGGGGUAUGUGUACUUGAAGAAAAAAAGACGCAGACGGACAGGACAUGGAGAUGCAGACCAAGCAAAAUGUGCAUUUCUCUUUAUGAUGAACAGACAAUGCAAUGGUUUAGUGGAUGGUGCAGCUCUGGUACAUGAUAUUGACUACAAGCACGUGCGUGGAUGUCAUGUUGUAGAUUUCACAGUGGUUAAGUCGGUGCUGCAACUUGAUCCUUUUUCUAAGGAAUGUGCAUUCAACUUAUGGCUAUGGUGAAAGAAAAGCUCGAAGUAUCGGACAAGAAACUCAAAACUAUUCGAUAAGAAACUCAGGCUAUCAGACGAGGAACCCGAACUGUCCGACAAGAAGCAGUUUCCUGUACCAUACACGAAGAAAAAUUUAGUUGAUGGAACUACGGUUGUCAUGGAAUUGCCUUGCUGGUACUAAAAAGAUGCCAAUAACCAGAGGGGCACUGGUAACCAAUCGAUGUCGCUUAUCAGAGGUGUUCUGGGUCCCUUAUGUCAACAUAGUAAUCAACUGUUCUCGACAAGACGACACUUGCUGCUUCUACCAGAUGAAGCCAGUGGCGGAAGAAGGGACCCGAUGCCUGGAAUAACUUUGCAGUAUAAAAUUUUGCACUGUUUGAAUGGUCAAGAUAGAGUGGUUUUAGUGGAAUACAGCCUUUCAUGGACAUAUCGUCUGUAUUUGCCCUGUUCUGCUGAUGGUAGAGAGCUCUUCCACACCUCGUGCACAGAUCAGAAUCCGCGAGGUAGGCGACGAAUUCAUUCAGGUUUAAAACGACAGGAAGGCAGUGUUUUACAUUCAUGACAUUGUUGAAAGACAAAGAAAAAGAAUCGAUUCCAGAACGUGCCGUCCUGUGUUUGUUGUUUUCGGCAGUUGAGGGAUUGAUUUCAAACACUCUAGUGGGAAAUAUAUGCAGAAGAAAGAACCAAGUAUGAUAAAUCCACGACAGACCUGGCACAAGCAUAUAGUAUGACACAACUACAGCCACCAUGACAAAAGCAUAGUUAAACAAAUUAGACAUAAGCUAACAUAUAUAUAAUUAUACCCCAACGUACAAAGUAUAUUGGGCUAUGUUGGAGUCACGCAUGUCCAGUCCAUCCGUUCAUUUGUCCACCAUGGCAGCUGGGAUGCUGACAUAAAUUAUAAACCACAUCAAGACGAUGUACAGAGCACUCAACCUAGGUCACAAGGCCCAAGGUCAAGAUUACUCAUGGAGGUCAAAGGUCAAAUAGCUUAGCUUCAUGUCCACUCUAUAUUGUCUAAACGGCUUUGAAAAUAUUUAGCUCGACUGUUUGAAGAAUAAGGAGGAUUACUGUACUUUCCUUGGCGUCUGUGUCACUGUUACCGUUGCAUUGAAAGUUAAAAUUUUAGGACAAGCUUCUCAGUGUCACUAUAUCUUCUUACUACUGCCCUUAUUAACAUCAAACUUCACAUAAGUGUUGGUCUUGGUAAGGGAAAGACAUCUACAUGUAUUAGUUUAGGAACAAGUAUCCUAAAUGUCGAAGUCACUGGCUUAAAUAUUGUGAUAGUGCUGGUUAAAGUUUCAUGAUAAGCUUCUCAAUUUCACAAUAUAACCUCACAUAAGAAUUGAUCUUGGAACGUGGCAGAAAUCUUUUUGUUUAGGGUCAGGUUGCUCAAAGGUCAAGGUUACUGGGUUCAGAUUUUGUAACAGUGUUGGUUAAAGUCUUGUGGCACAUUUCUCAAUUUGACUUAUAUCUCAUAAUGUUUCUUAGAACUGGUAUCCCUCAUGUCCUAUCCUUUUUAGCAAUACCCACACUUCAUCUACGUUCCUCCUGACACCCACCCAAAAAUGCGUUCCGUACAAAAACUUAUAUUUCAUGUUUCCAUCAACUCCCCUACUCCGCUGUCUUCGCCUACCUCCUCCGCCCCAUUUCACCGAACCUUUGCCCUCGUCCCCUCCAUAAAAAGGAUAAAAAAUUCCUUUUCAAUCUCCCACACUUACUUAUAAUAAUAACAAUAUUUUGUUAAACAUUUUCCUUAUAGUCAAGCAGACACAAUUAACUCAGAUCACUAGGCCCAAGGUCAAGGUCACACCUAAAAAUCAAAAGUCAUGAUGACAACAUUUUACUUUCCCUUUAUCAAAGUGAGGUCUGGGGGUAUUAAUUGACUUCAGUGAUAGCCUUAGUUGAUCAGGUGUUAGUGGCAUAAAUGUGUAACAUUUGCUUUAUUAGGGGUGGGGGAUAGGAAUGGUCUUCGUCCGUCCGUCUGCCCAUCCGCAACACUUUCGUGUCCAGGCCAUAUCUCCUAAAUGCCUUGAAGGAUUUUCAUGAAACUUGGGUCAAAUUAUCAACUCAUCAAGAUGAUGUGCAGAAUUUAUUAAUCAGUCAUGUCAGUUCAUUGUUAAGGUCACAGCUCAAGGUCAAAGGU